rnacentral:rRNA from 1 species
GACAGAGGGGGCAAGCGUUGCUCGGAAUCACUGGGCGUAAAGGGCGCGUAGGCGGGAUGGCAAGUCAGUCGUGAAAUCUCUCGGCUCAACCGAGAAACGUCGGCUGAUACUGCCGUUCUUGAGGGAUGCAGAGGAGACUGGAAUUCCCGGUGUAGCGGUGAAAUGUGUAGAGAUCGGGAGGAACACCGGUGGCGAAGGCGGGGUCUCUGGGCCGGAACUGACGCUAAGGAGCGAAAGCGUGGGGAGCGAACAGG